GACAGAGGGUGCAAACGUUGUUCGGAAUUACUGGGCGUAAAGCGCGUGUAGGCGGCCCUGCAAGUCGGGUGUGAAAUCCCACGGCUCAACCGUGGAAGUGCACUCGAAACUGCAGGGCUAGAGUCCUGGAGAGGAAGGUGGAAUGCUUGGUGUAGAGGUGAAAUUCGUAGAUAUGGGGAGGAACACCGGUGGCGAAGGCGGCCAUCUGGACGGCUAUUGACGCUGAGACGCGAAAGCAUGGGGAGCAAACAGG
rnacentral:rRNA from 1 species